GGUAAACUGCCGGAUCUGUGCCAGAGAACCCGUAGGCUUUCCUCUUCUUCGGUUACUCCCGAAAUGGGCAUGGAAUUUAUCACAAAGCUCGGUCCAAGAGGAUAUUGAAUCUGCCGGCAAAGUUCCCAACCACUGUCUCGCAUCUUUUCUCAGCGUCGUAACAAAAGUGUGGCACUUAGCAGCGUCAGUGAAGUCAUAAUAGUGCAUUAGCCAGUCGAACGCCUGGCUAUGGUCAUAAGGAUCCCCGGUCCCAUCGUAACUU
rnacentral:lncRNA from 1 species